rnacentral:tRNA from 1 species
GGAGAGGUGGCUGAGUUGGUCGAAAGCGGCACACUGCUAAUGUGUUGCCCCGACUCAUUGUCGGGGCCGCGGGUUCGAAUCCCGCCCUCUCCGCAA